UGAGGUGGCCGGGUGACCGCGGCGAUGCGUGCUGCAUCGUCGAGGAAAGUCGGGACUCCACAGAGCAGGGUGCUGGCGAGAGCCAGGUUGGGGCGACCUGACGGAUAAGUGCAACAGAGAGAGACCGCCGAUGGGCCGGGCAACCGGUCACAGGUAAGGGUGAAACGGUGCGGUAAGAGCGCACCAGCGGCGACGGUGACGUCGUCGGCUCGGUAAACCCCACCCGGAGCAAGGCCGAGCAGAGAACAUGGACGGCUCGUCCGUCCAUGACAUCGAGAGAUGUCAUGGACACCCUCGGGUAGGCCGCAAAGAUGGAUGGUCACCGGCCCGGCGUUCAGCGUCGAGCCACAGAAUCCCG
rnacentral:RNase_P_RNA from 1 species